rnacentral:rRNA from 1 species
UUACACAAGAGACCCAAAUUAACCGUAUACGGCGUAAAGAGUGGCACCAUGCUAUCAUAGCAGCUAGGAUUGAAAUGCAACUAAGCUGUCAUAAGCCCAAGAUGUACUUAAGGCCACCUUUAAGAUGAUCCUAGCGUUGCCUGAUUAAUUUAACACCACGAAAGCUAGGGUACAAACUGGGAUUAGAUACCCCAUUAUGCCUAGCCCUAAAUCUUGAUGCUUACCAUACCAAAGCAUCCGCCUGAGAACUACGAGCACAAACGCUUAAAACUCUAAGGACUUGGCGGUGCCCCAAACCCACCUAGAGGAGCCUGUUCUGUAAUCGAUAACCCACGAUUCACCCGACCACCCCUUGUCAAUGCAGCCUACAUACCGCCGUCGCCAGCCCACCUCCCCUGAGAGCCUUACAGUGGGCACAAUAGCCUAAACCCGCUAACAAGACAGGUCGAGGUAUAGCCUAUGGGGCGGAAGAAAUGGGCUACAUUUUCUAUAAUAGAAAA